rnacentral:rRNA from 1 species
GUUACUCUAUUCCUAUCUAUGAUGGCCUGUGAGGGCGACGUGCCGGGCACUGAGACCAGGUAUACGCAAGGGAAAACGUCAUCGGUAGGGGUCCUCGUACUAACCGCCGUCCUCUCCGCCUAAGUAGACUCUAUCUUGUACUUGUCAUGGAUUUAGACUCGUCUCCGCGCUCACCGACCCUGUUCUCCUCCGCGCGUAGGUCGGCGCCAAGGCCCGGCCGCCGUGACCGUGCUCAAAGCGGCGGCCACGAAUAGGUCGCGGCCCCGUGUCGCGCGUUGUGACAGCCACUGCGGGACGCGGCAGCACAUAAGAGGCCUAGGUGGUGCCCAACUACUUCCUACAAACCGCGAUAUAAAUAGAAAUACUGUAAAAUGUAGAGUUCCCUUUGUUACGUUUCUCCGGCGUAGUUAAAUAGCUCAGAUAUCUACUUACUUACUUACUCUCACUUCUCCGCCCAUUGCGUUACCACUUUUUGGUUCUUCAUAGAACCCCGUGUUGAACAUACCCCACUAACAAAACCCACGUUCGCAAUAUACUAUAACUCUCGACGCUAUCACGCUAUACCGAUGC